rnacentral:rRNA from 1 species
GACGAACGCUGGCGGCGUGCCUAAUACAUGCAAGUCGAACGCAGUGGGGACGGGUGAGUAACACGUGGGUAACCUCCCAUCAGAGGGGAUAACACUUGGAAACAGGUGCUAAACCGAUACUGAUGGAUGGACCCGCGGUGCAUUAGCUAGUUGGUGAGGUAACGGCUCACCAAGGCCACGAUGCAUAGCUGAGCUGAGAGGGUGAUCGGUCACACGGGGACUGAGGCACGGGCCAGACUCCUACGGGAGGCAGCAGUAGGGAAUCUGCGGCAAUGGACGAAAGUGUGACGGAGCAACGCCGCGUUAGUGAAGAAGGUUUUCGGAUCGUAAAUCGCUGUUGUUAGAGAAGCGGGAUCUAACGAGAAAGCCACGGCUAACUACGUGCCAGCAGCCGCGGUAAUUC